UACGGAGGGGACUAGCGUUGUUCGGAAUUACUGGGCGUAAAGCGCACGUAGGCGGAUUUGUAAGUCAGGGGUGAAAUCCCGGGGCUCAACCUCGGAACUGCCUUUGAUACUGCAAAUCUCGAGUCCGGAAGAGGUGAGUGGAAUUCCUAGUGUAGAGGUGAAAUUCGUAGAUAUUGGGAGGAACACCGGUGGCGAAGGCGGCCCCCUGGACCGGUACUGACGCUGAGGCGCGAAAGCGUGGGUAGCAAACGGG
rnacentral:rRNA from 1 species